GAAACCCAUCCUAAAUACAGAUGAAAACUUUGGGGACUCCAAAUAGCCAACACAGUCUUGAAAAGUAAAGAAGUUGGAGGAUUCACAAGUUUAAAUUCUGGUGAAAUCUACACCCAUGUCCAAAUACAGAGAAGAAGAGGGCCCUUAUGCCUCUCAGGGACUGGCUGUCAUCUAGCCACUUGAGUUUACACGCACACCAAGUUCGUUU